rnacentral:rRNA from 1 species
GACGAACGCUGGCGGCGUGCUUAACACAUGCAAGUCGAACGGAAAGGCCCUGCUUGCAGGGUACUCGAGUGGCGAACGGGUGAGUAACACGUGGGUGAUCUGCCCUGCACUUCGGGAUAAGCCUGGGAAACUGGGUCUAAUACCGGAUAGGAGCCAUUUUUAGUGUGAUGGUUGGAAAGUUUUUUCGGUGUAGGAUGAGCUCGCGGCCUAUCAGCUUGUUGGUGGGGUAAUGGCCUACCAAGGCGGCGACGGGUAGCCGGCCUGAGAGGGUGGACGGCCACAGUGGGACUGAGAGACGGCCCAGACUCCUACGGGAGGCAGCAGGGGGGAAUAUUGCACAAUGGGCGCAAGCCUGAUGCAGCGACGCCGCGUGGGGGAUGACGGCCUUCGGGUUGUAAACUCCUUUCGCUAGGGACGAAGCUUUUUGUGACGGUACCUAGAUAAGAAGCACCGGCUAACUACGUG